rnacentral:rRNA from 1 species
AGGCCUACACAUGCAGUCGAGCGGUAGCACAGAGAGCUUGCUCUCGGGUGACGAGCGGCGGACGGGUGAGUAAUGUCUGGGAAACUGCCUGAUGGAGGGGGAUAACUACUGGAAACGGUAGCUAAUACCGCAUAACGUCGCAAGACCAAAGUGGGGGACCUUCGGGCCUCAUGCCAUCAGAUGUGCCCAGAUGGGAUUAGCUAGUAGGUGGGGUAACGGCUCACCUAGGCGACGAUCCCUAGCUGGUCUGAGAGGAUGACCAGCCACACUGGAACUGAGACACGGUCCAGACUCCUACGGGAGGCAGCAGUGGGGAAUAUUGCACAAUGGGCGCAAGCCUGAUGCAGCCAUGCCGCGUGUGUGAAGAAGGCCUUCGGGUUGUAAAGCACUUUCAGCGGGGAGGAAGGCGUUGAGGUUAAUAACCUUGUCGAUUGACGUUACCCGCAGAAGAAGCACCGGCUAACUCCGUGCCAGCAGCCGCGGUAAUACGGAGGGUGCAAGCGUUAAUCGGAAUUACUGGGCGUAAAGCGCACGCAGGCGGUCUGUCAAGUCGGAUGUGAAAUCCCCGGGCUCAACCUGGGAACUGCAUUCGAAACUGGCAGGCUAGAGUCUUGUAGAGGGGGGUAGAAUUCCAGGUGUAGCGGUGAAAUGCGUAGAGAUCUGGAGGAAUACCGGUGGCGAAGGCGGCCCCCUGGACAAAGACUGACGCUCAGGUGCGAAAGCGUGGGGAGCAAACAGGAUUAGAUACCCUGGUAGUCCACGCCGUAAACGAUGUCGAUUUGGAGGUUGUGCCCUUGAGGCGUGGCUUCCGGAGCUAACGCGUUAAAUCGACCGCCUGGGGAGUACGGCCGCAAGGUUAAAACUCAAAUGAAUUGACGGGGGCCCGCACAAGCGGUGGAGCAUGUGGUUUAAUUCGAUGCAACGCGAAGAACCUUACCUGGUCUUGACAUCCACAGAACUUUCCAGAGAUGGAUUGGUGCCUUCGGGAACUGUGAGACAGGUGCUGCAUGGCUGUCGUCAGCUCGUGUUGUGAAAUGUUGGGUUAAGUCCCGCAACGAGCGCAACCCUUAUCCUUUGUUGCCAGCGGUCAGGCCGGGAACUCAAAGGAGACUGCCAGUGAUAAACUGGAGGAAGGUGGGGAUGACGUCAAGUCAUCAUGGCCCUUACGACCAGGGCUACACACGUGCUACAAUGGCAUAUACAAAGAGAAGCGACCUCGCGAGAGCAAGCGGACCUCAUAAAGUAUGUCGUAGUCCGGAUUGGAGUCUGCAACUCGACUCCAUGAAGUCGGAAUCGCUAGUAAUCGUAGAUCAGAAUGCUACGGUGAAUACGUUCCCGGGCCUUGUACACACCGCCCGUCACACCAUGGGAGUGGGUUGCAAAAGAAGUAGGUAGCUUAACCUCGGAGACGCUACCACUUGG